AAUUGGCUUCCUGGGCUUUUGUGGAUCUUGUAGCGCCUGUUGUAAGAUGUUGUUGAUUCUGUUUGCAGUUAUAAUGGUGGGUUUGAUGGCAGGUGAACUGGUUGUAGGUAUCAUGUUCUUAGUGGAAGACUCACCAAUUCACGACACGAUUAAACAUGAGUUGAUGAAGAAGAUUAAAUCAGACUACAGCCAGAAUGGUAUGGAUUCAUUUAGUCAAAGUUUCAAUGUCAUUCAA
rnacentral:sRNA from 1 species